UCUCACCGCUGUCGCCACUUGUAACGCCGUGGUGCAGGGGGGCGUGAAAGUCCCCCUCCUGACCACCACAGCUUACACUAGAAGAUAAUUGGUCAAUAGAAUCUGUGAAUUCUAUAUCUGCUUUGUGGAAGCCCCGGUAGCUCCUGCCGGACUUGCAUACCACAGGUGACGAAGAGGCCUUACAUUACAUGGUGUCAGCGUUGGUGGGAUAGUUGCAAUAACAUCAGAGAGUAUAAUUCAACGAGGCUGCCGACGGAAGUGCAAGGAGAACUUGAAGACGCCGAGGUGGAUUCAAGCCUGCUUCGAGGAGUGAACAUCCCGGAGGUACCUCGAGUACAGAGAUACUCGGAAGGACGCAGCCGCUAGGUCCGUAGAAGCAAGCUGUAAUCAGCGACCCUUGUUGAAUCCUGAGAGACAGCAGAGGUGCCAGCCGACAGCAGCCGUCGACGAGAGAGGAGCGUAGGACAGCGUUCUGAACUUCGGUUUCCCUUCUACUCUUUCAUCUUCAAUUUCCAAAGCAAAUCAGCCCCUAAAUGAAGAUUCCUAUCUUUUGGGAUGAGACGUCCUGCAGUCUGAGGAAAAUUCAUCAAUGUUUCGGUGCAACGUACUGCCUCCAUUCUCUGGGCAGCGCUGAAGAUGGAUAAAGUUCAUUUCUCCGAAAUUGCAGUAAAUAAAGUAUCUUCCGCAUUACACGGUGUCACAUCUUAGUAAAGAGUAGCCUUUAUUCAAAGUCGUGAUUACCUCAGAUCUCGCAGAACCCUGCCAAUGUACUUUCCUUUUCUCUACAAUCCUACAUCGUCCCACUCUUACAAUAUUACAACUUGGACUUAGAAUCGCCAUCAUUAGACAUUUGUCACAAGCACAAGACAUUUUUCGCUGCUCAUAGCAGUCUUCGACUGAUUUCAAAAGUUUUCCAUUUAGUUUUUGUGUCAGCCUAUAUAUUGUUAGGUCUCAAUUGGAUUUCUUUUUCUCCUAGAAAGAAAUAUAGAGUUGUGGGUUGGUUCAUAAGAAAC